CAAGAAUUUUGUUGGCCAGGUGCAGUGGCUCACACCUGUAAUCCCAGCACUUUGGAAGGCCCAGGCGGGCAGAUCACUUGAGGUCAGGAGUUCAAGACCAGCCUGGGCAACAUGGUGAUACCUCAUCUCUACUCAAAAUACAAAAAAAUUAGCUGGGUAUAGUGGCAGGCACCUGUAAUCCCAGUUACUUAGGAGGCUGAGACAGGAGAAUCGCUUGAACCCGGGUGGCGGAGGUUGCAGUGAGCCGAGAUCAUGCCAUUGCACUCCAGCCUGGGUGACAGAGCAAGACUCUGACUCAAAAAAAAAAAAAAAAAAAAAGAAUUUCGUCCUUCUGUGUAUAUGUCUUCUUUAAGGAGCUACCCCAUUCUGGGAAAGCACGGUUGGUACCAUGUGAAAAGGUGCCCCCAUCACCACAUUUACAAAGCAUGAGAUCAGGAAUUUAAAAGGCACCUUCACUGCCUCCCAUCUGCCUCCCCCACACUUGUCUGAUCCCCUCUUCCUACCACGUGUGUCCUCUCCUUCCUUCAGUUUCACACACGAUCCAAUUCUCUCAGCCCCCAGCAUGGGUUGCCUCCUGGUUGUGCCUCCUUGACUCAGCCCAUCCCUGGACAACAACAGCUCCUUCCAUGGCUUUACUUAGCUCCCUGGACCUCGCCUUCCAGGUCUUCUUAAGCAGCUCAACCCACCCCUAGUCCCACCUUCAAGGAAUGAACUUGUAUAAUAUUCUCUCUGAUCCUUUUGCAGUUAUGCAUAAUGACUGGGUUUUCACGCUUAUGAAUGAGAUGUGCCUCCCUCAAACAUUGUUAUAUGUCAGCACAUUAUGCAUCUGACAUGAGAAAAAAAAUUCUCCCUUGCUUCAAAACACUUUUGCAAAUUCUCUUCUAUGUGGAAAACAAACACAGAGAGGAAGUAGAGAUGAUGAAUGUGGACAACUCAUUUGAAAACUUGGGGUGAGAAGGAGAAAAUUGAGAUUGGGCUGUUCUUAGGGGGGAUAAGGUGUGCAGGAGUAGACUUGCUUGCUGUACCCUAUACCCAUUCUCCCUCCUGGUACAUUAAUAGAGUCUCUGUGUUUAACUGGUAUAUUAGGGCAUUCUUGUAUUGCUAUAAAGAAAUACUUGAGACUGGGUAAUUUAUAAAGAAAAGAGGUUUAAUUGGUUCAUUAAUUUAUAAAGAAAAGAUCUCAUGUGAACUAAAGUGUGAGCUCGCUUAUUACCAAAGAGAUGAUCCAAGCCACUCACGAGGGAUCCACCCCCAUGAUCAAAACACCUCCCACCAGGCCCCACCUCCAGCAUUGGGGAUUACAUUUCAACAUGAGAUUUGGGCAGGGACAAAUAUCCAAACGGUAUCAACUGGGUACCAGAAUAAUGGCUGAUCCCCAGCCUUCCUUGCAGCUAAGCAUGGCCAUGUUGCUAAAUUCUGGCCUGUUGGGAGGUGAUUGGAAGUCACACCCUCAUGUGGAAGGGCUCUCCAUCUCCCCAUCCCUCUUUCCCGAUGCUGCUUACAGCAGUGAGAGUUAUCAUGAACUGUGGAGACAAGGCCACCCCUAGGAAUGGUGGAGUGAGGACCCUUAAGAAGCUGAGCUCCCUGCCACUAAGGUAUUGCCCUGCCAGCUUAUGUGAGAAAUAAGUAAACUUUCAUCUUGUUUAAGCUUUUUAAGUGGAUUUGAUUAUUUGGGGACUUUAUAGCAGUCAAACCUGCUUCCUAAUUAAUAGUGGUGGAUAAAAGGAUCUUCACUUUCUUAUCUUUAAUGAAUUUUGAACGUAGUCUGAUGCCAAUUGGAAGAAUCCGGGAAAAAGUGAGGUUGAAAAUACAGAGUGAUCUGGAGUGAUGGUUAAUGCAAGUGUCCUGAGAAGGCAGGAGGAAAGAGGUGAAAGGGUGUGGGGGCGCUGGCCUUGAGGGACUGCGCCACCUGGACAAGGGGAGGGCAAAAUGGGAAGCUGGAUUCAGGAGACUUGAGAUUUGGCAGCAGGAAGUUGAGGCAGUUCCUGCCUCAUGCUUCUGAUUUUUCAGCAAAGCAGGAGGCAAGGUCCUCUAUGGAGAAAUCAAUCCAGAGCAGGAAGGUAAACCUGACAGAGCUUAUGUAAGGGCUCAGAGGUGGUAGCGUGGGCUGGGCAGCCCUUCCAUGACUGUCUGCAUUUAUGUUGUCUAAGAGCACAAGAGCUAAAAACCAGACACUGUGACAACUUAACUCUAUGUCAAGUACUACACAAGGUCAUCACUGAAUAGGACUUGAGAGUAAACAUUUGUUCUAUGAUUUUGAUCUUUAAAAAUAAGAAUAUAGCUGGGUGUGGUGGGCACACACCUGCAGUCAUAGCUACUGGAGAGGCUGAGGCGGGAACAGUGCUGGAGCCCAGAAGCCUUGGGCUGUAGCACACUGUGACCAUUAGGUGUUUGCACUAAGUGGAGCGGGGGUGCCACCAGGUUGCCUAAGGAGGAGUGAACCAGCCCAGGUCAGAAACUGAGCAGGUCAAAACUCCUGUGUUGAUCAGUAAUGGGAUUGCACCUGUGAAUAG
rnacentral:lncRNA from 1 species